AAUUGCCAGUCCGUUGCUGCAGCGUUCCCUUCCGGUCAGCACGGAGCAGGAAGCCCGGUGCACUUAUUUCCGCAGGGAUGGGGUUGCUAUUGACAACAGCCGACGGUCGCGAUCCGCGGCCUCCAUGGCGCUUCUGAUCCGCGAUCUACAGCGGGCAGUACCACUCCGCCGGGCCCGGCUUCGGCGAGACUGCCAGAUCUUGCGCCAGAUUCUUGGUGUAGGCCGCUUCGACCUAGGGCUGAUUUGUGUGGACGACCGGAGGAUGCGGAUCUUGAACGGACGUUACCGGGGACGGGACGCGGCCACCGACGUGUUGUCCUUCCCCUUCCACCCGGUGAGACCCGGGUUCGAGUGCUGGGGGUCGGGUCGAGUCCACCCUUCACUCCCACUUAGAUCCUUCCAUCAACGCAGAUUCGAUCUUGGAGUAGGAGAUAUGCCCAAACCCUUACAUCAGGAUGAAUAUAACCUUGGAGACAUUUUCCUAGGAGUCGAAUAUAUCUACAGACAAAGCCAAGUACAUGGGCAAGAUUUCUACAGUGUACUAACUGUAACUACAUUACAUGGAAUCUGCCAUCUGCUGGGCUACAGGCACAGUACAGAAACUGAAUGGAAACAGAUGUUCCAGAGAGAAUCCAACACCCUUCAAUUGUUUAAUAGACUCACUGGGUCUAAUCUUCAGCCACUAACACAGAACAGCUUCUAACCACAAUUGCAGAUGCUGCCUGACCUGCAGAGUUCCUCCAGCAUUUUAUAUGCUGUGCUCUGGAUUUGCAGCAUCUGCAGAAUCUCUUGUGCUCACGAACAAAAUGAUUGCUAUUCCAGAUCCAUUGCAGCAUUAAAAAUUCGCAGCCACAAGACAAAGAGACACAAUAGAAUUGAUGAAAAAUAACCCAUACAACAAAGACUGUCAAACAUCCAAUGUACAAAAAGAAUCGUACAAACGAUAAAGAAAGUAAACAAAAAAUACACAGAACAUGAAUGGCAGCAGAUCUGGGAGCCCAAAAGCUGCAGGCCACAUCCAUGGAGCCAAUUCAACACUGAGGCGAGUGCUGCUGGUUACAGGAGUAUCAUUUGACAUCAGUCAUCUGGUUGUGCAUUAGUGAAUGACAGUAAUCAUAGCAGCAAUCCAUUUCAAUCACUCCUUAACAGCUUUCCCCAGUCUGAGCAAUUACUUUUUACGUUAUAUGGGGGGAUUGAGUUCAAGAGCCAUGAGGUAAAAUUGCAACUCUAUAACACCCUGGUUAGACCAUGCAAGGGAUAUUGUGUUCAGUUCUGGUCUCCACAUUAUAGGAAGGAUGAGGAAGCUUUAGAGAGGGUGUAGAGGAGAUUUACCAGGAUGCUGCCUGGACUAGAGAACAUGUUUUCUGAGUAUAAGUUGAGUGAACUAACGCUUUUCUCUCUGGAUAGGAGGAGGAUGAGAGAUGAUUUAAUAGAUGUGUAACAAGAUGAUAAGAGGCACAGAUCAAGUGACUAGCUGGAGACUUUUUCCCAGAAUGGAAAUAGCUAAUGCAAAGAGGCAUAUUUUUCCAUUUAUUUGUUUGUUUAUUUAGAGAUACAAUAUGGACUAAGAUUUGAUUACAUCUUUUUAGAAUAGACAGGAUUUUUAUGGAUUUGAUUUCAAUUUUUACCAACAGACUCACACCACUCCCUCUACCCACCUGCCUGUCCUUUUUAUAUAAUGUGCAUCAAUGACCUUCUUUCAGCCACGACUCAAUGAUGCAAACAUCAUACCUGCCGAUCUCUAACUACACUGCAAGCAUGUUCAGUCCUGUGUUCAUCACCCUUUCAAUUUUGCCCUGAGUUACACUUCAGCUCAUCCCACUGACUGCAGUUUUUCCAUCUCAUCUGCUUGUUUUUCCUCACAGUCUACUACACACUGUAUCUACUUGAAUAUCAACUGUGGUAUCCUCAGUUCUAUCACUCUGGUUCCCAUCCCCUUGCCAAAUUAGUUUAAACCCUCCCCAAUAGCUGUAGCAAACCUGCCCACAAGGAUAUUGGUCUCUACACCCUCCCCCAAGUUCAGGUGUAACCCAUCCUUGUGUAGGUUGUACUGUAUCUUUCCCAGAAGAGAUUCCAAUGAUAGAAAAAUUUGAAACUCUGACCCUAGAACCAAUUCCUCAGCCACACAUUCAUCUGGCAGAUUAUCGUAUUCUUACCCUCACUGGUGCAUUGCACAUACAGCAAUCCAGAAAUUACUGCCCUGGAGGUCCUGCUUUACAGCUUUCUACCUAACUCCCUAAAUUCUCUCUUCAGGACCUUCUCUCCUUUCCUGCCUAUGUUGUUGGUACUAAUAUGUACCACAACUUCUAGCUGCUCACCCUCCCCCUUUAGACCUGAUUUGAGACAUCCCUGACCCUGGCACCUGCGGGAAAAUACACCAUUCAGGUUUCUUUUUCACAUGCUUAGAAUCCCCUGUCAGUACUGCUCUCCUCUUUUCCCCCUUCCCUCCUGAGCCACAAAGCCAGACUCAGUGCCAGAGACCUGGUCACUGUGACUUCUCCCAGCAGGUCAUACCCUACCCCCCCAAUAAUUUACAAAUUGGUAUACGUAUUAUUGAGGGGAACAGCCACGGGGGUACACACUGCUCUGGCUGCCUAUUCCAUUUCCCUCUCCUGAAUCACCCAGGAACCUGCUUCCUGCAACUUAGGGGGUGACUGCCUCCUGUAGCUCCUAUUUAUCAAUUCCUCAUUCUCCCAUAUGAGCUGAAGAUCAUCAAGCUGCAGAUUCAGUUCCUUAACACAGCCACUUAGGAGUUGUGUUGGCGCGUGGCCUAGUGGAUAAGGCAUUGGCUUAGUGAUCUGAAGGUCACUGGUUCGAGCCUCAGCUGAGGCAGCGUGUUGUGUCCUUGAGCAAGGCACUUAACAACACAUUGCUCUGUGACAACACUGGUGCCAAGCUGCUUGGGUCCUAGUGCCCUUGGACAACAUCGGUGGCAUGGAGAGGGGAAGGCUUGCAGUUUGGGCAACUGCCCAGGCCUGUGCCCUGGAAACCUUCCAAGGCGCAAAUCCAUGGUCUCACUUUUAUUUAUUUUUAUUUUUAGGAGCUGCAGCUUGACACACUUCAUGCAGAUGCAGUUAACAGGGAGGCUUGAGGUCUCCCACUGAAGGGGUCCUAUCAGUGAAAGCAGUCUAGUCACUACCUAGAGAAAUGUUAUAAUAACUUUGGAGAGUUCCUUCCAAUGAUGGUUACAGAAAUAGAAUUGUUAGAGGGAUUGUAUUAUGUGUAGCAAGUUAUUCAAUGAGAUGAUAUAAGUGGACUUUUGUGUGAUUUAGCCAACGUGUGUGGAGAGGCCAUUUGACAGGUAUGAUAAGGGGCUUAUUGUAAGUGUAUCAGUAGAGGAUCAGUGGGGGAAAGGAGACCAAAAUGAAGGGUUUCGACCCGAAACGUUGACUGCUUCUUUCAACGGAUGCUGCCCAACCUGCUGAGUUCAUCCAGCUUUUUUGUACGUCUUGAUUAGACCAAAAGAGAAGAUAGGAGGGAAGAAACAUCAGAGGUGACACAUUCUGAGAGUUAAUGUAGGGUAGUAAUCACUUUGAGAAUGAGAGAGUGGUUGCUUGGAGCCAUGGCCUGAGAGCAGGAACCAGUGAAGGGAACCUAGUGCUGAGCUUUGUAUGGCAGAGGGCAGCAAGGAUUUUAAAGGGAGCAUAGAACCAUUGAACAUUACAGCACAGAAACAGGUCUUUUGGCCCUUCUUGGCUGUGCCAAGCCAUUUUUCUGCCUAGUUCCACUGACUUGCACCUGGACCAUAUCCCUCCAUACCCUCCUCAUCCAUGUACCUGUCCAAGUUUUUCUUAAAUGUUAAAAGUGAGCCUGCAUUCAACACUUCAUCUGGCAGCUCAUUCCACACUCCCACUACUCUCUGUGUGAAGAAGCCCCCCCUAAUGUUCCCUUUAAACUUUUCCCUUUUCACCCUUAACCCAUGUCCUCUGUUUUUUUUUCUCCCCUUGCCUCAGUGGAAAAAGCCUGCUUGCAUUCACUCUAUCUAUACCCAUCAUAAUUUUAUACACCUCUAUCAAAUUUCCCCUCAUUCUUCUACGCUCCAGGGAAUAAAGUCCUAACCUAUUCAACCUUUCUCUGUAACUCAGUUUAUCAAGUCCUGGCAACAUCCUUGUAAACCUUCUCUGCACUCUUUCAACCUUAUUAAUAUCCUUCCUGUAAUUCGGUGAUCAGAACUGCACACAAUACUCCAAAUUUAGCCUCACCAAUGCCUUAUACAAUCUCACCAUAACAUUCCAACUCUUAUACUCAAUACUUUGACAUAUAAAGGCCAAUGUGCCAAAAACUCUCUUUACGACCCAUCUACCUGUGACAGCAAUUUAGGGAAUUUUGUAUCUGUAUUCCCAGAUCCCUCUGUUCUACUGCACUCCUCAGUGUCCUAUCAUUUAUCAUGUAUGUUCUACCUUGGUUUGUCCUUCCAAAGUGCAGUACCUCACACUUGUCUGCAUUAAACUCCAUCUGCCUUUUGUCAGCCCAUUUUUCCAGCUAGUCCAAAUCCCUCUGCAAGCUUUGAAAACCUUCCUCACUGUCCACUACACCUCCAAUCUUUGUAUCAUUGGCAAAUUUGCUGAUAUAGAUGACAAAUAACAAUGGACCCAGCAUUGAUCCCUGUGGCACACCACUAGUCAAAGAGCGUACGAAGAUAGAGAAGGAGAAGGUGUCAAAGGAUGCCAGCAUUAAUAUUUGUGAGGCAUGAGUUUCAACUCACCAUGGCAGAUGUGAUUUAAAAAAUUAAAGUUUAUAUUUUCAGUAGUGUACGCAAAACUACUACACUUGUUGAAGUUAUUUGGUUCAUUAAAUACUUUUUGGAGAAAGAAUGUGAAAUGUGCUCAAAUACUUGUAUGCACAAGUGCAAUGAAAACCUUACUUGCAGCUGCCUCACAGGCACAUAGCAUCAAGUACACAAUAUUUGCAAGUAAAAAAAAAGAUAAAUUCAGCAUAAAUUAUACAGAAUAUGUACAAAGAACACAAUUCAAACUAAAAAUAACUCCAUUUACUGCAAAAUGGUCAAAGUGGUCACAGUGUGGCUACACUUAGGUAGUGAAUAGGGCUGUGUAGAUUGGUUCAAGAGAAGUAGGUGUUCUUGGAUCUGGCAAUGUGGGACUUAAGGCUUCUGCCCCUCCUGCCUGAUGGUAGCUGGGAGAUGAUAUCAUGGCUCGGAGAUCUUUGACGAUGGAUGUUGCCUUCAUGAAACAGCACCAACCGUCGAUCCUCCCAAAGUUGGGGAGUGAUGUACUCGUAAUAUAUUGGGCAGAGUCCACUACUUCCUGUAGUCUUUUACACUCCUGUAUAUUUGAUUUACCUACCGGACCAUGCUGUAACCAGUCUUUUGGAAUGUUCAGUGACAUCUAGACUGGUUUAGAUGUGAGAGAGUAUAUUUUCAGUAUAUAUCCCAACAAACAACACUCUUUGUAUCAAAGAGUGCCUUGAAAAGCUAAAAUAAAACUAAAACCAGCCAGGACGCAUAUUAUUGACUAAAGAACAAUUCGGAUAAGGCUCAUGCAACCCAGUGGACUUCGCCAAAUUAUUCUCAUCACCAUAUGGGGCACCUACUCAAAUGAGCAAAAGGUGCACCAUGGAAUGACCACCUGUGCUGCCAAAGUGAUGGAUUCCUCCAUCCUCAGCACGAGAUGCAUCUGUCCCUGCCAGAAUGGCUCCGAGGUGAAUCCAUAUUAUAUUGAAGUCUUAUUUUGUUGUCAAACAUGGACAAGAAAAGCAGCUCCUAUUCUUCUUCAAUGGAUGAAGCAUCUCUCCACGUUUGGUAACACAUGGAAGAAGUACAAAAGCCAGUGUGGGCACAGAAUAUUCACUGGUUGGGGUCUUUGCUAAAUUGGCUGAAUUGGGUUGCCUUGGCCACACAACACCUCAGCAUCUCAAGGUUACCAGCAAUUUUUCAUGGCAAGUAGGGCUAGACAAUAGACUCUGGUUUUACCUGAAAUACUCACAUGCCAUGAAUAAGUAAGUAAAUGAAGAAAACAGCAAACUAAGAUGUAAGGGCCACAUAAGUUACAGGGAAGAUGACACCUUAACAUAAUAUAGUAUAACCAUAUCCUUCAGCCUCUGCCUCUUAGUCUGCCUACUCACAUGAUAUUGACUAUUUGAUAUUUGUUCAAAUGAGCACUAUUUGUAGUUAUUUGACAAUGCAGGAAAGAGUUUAAGAAAUGGACAGCAGAUCUAGAAGGGGGCAUGAGAAGGCCUUGGUGAGUAGGAUUAAGGAAAACCCCAAGACACUCGGCACAUACUUGAAGAACAGGGGAUGACUAGAGUAGGACUGAUCAGGGAUAAAAGAGGAUGCAUUCACCUGGGGUUGGAGGAGGUAGGCAAAGUCCUUUAUGAACACUUUGCUUCAGUGUUCACCAGGGAGAGAGACUUUGAUGAACGUGAGGUCAGUGUAGAGCAGGCUUAUGUGUUAGAAUAUGUUGACAUUAAUAAAGAGGAUAUGCUGAAACAUUUGAAAAAUAUUAGGAUAGGUAAGUGUCUGCAUUUGGAUGGGAUAUUCCUCAGGAUACUACGGGAAGUGAGGGUAAAGAUUGCUGUGCCUUUGGCAAUGACCUUUGUGUACUUACUUGCUACAGGAGUAGUAACAGAAGAUCGGAGAGUGGCAAAUGUUAUUCCUUUGUUAAAGAAAGUUAUAUGGAUAACCCUGGGAAUUAUAGAGCAGUGAAUUUUACAUCAGUGGUGGCAAACCUUUGAAGAGAAUUCUUAGAGACAGGAUUUGCAAACAUUUGGAGAAGUAGAGUCUAAGUAGGGAUAGUCAGCAUGGCUUUGUGAGGGGCAGAUCAUACCUCACGAGCCUGAUUGAUUUCUUCAAGGAUGUGACAAACCACGUUGAUGAAGGUAGGGCAGUGGAUGUAGUGUAUAUGGAUUUUAGCAAGGUGAUAAGGUUCCCCAUGGUAGGCUCAUUCAUGGGCUUCCUCCUGGUAGGAAGCAUGGGAUCAGGGAAAAGUGGCUGCAUGGAUUCAAAAUUUUGCUUGCUCACAGAAGGUAGAUGGAGUGGAUUCUGUUUGGAGGUCAGUGAUCAGUGGUGUUCCACAGGGAUUUGUUCUGGGAGCCCUGCUCUUUGUGAUUUUUAUACUUGAUAUACAGUAGAUGAGGAGAUGGAAGUUUGCAUAUGGCAUGAAGGUUGGUGGUAUUAUGGAUAGCGUAAAAGAUUGUGGAUGGUUACAAAAGGUCAUUCAUUGGAUGCAAAUUUGGGCUGAGAGGUGGCAGAUGGAGUUCAAUCCAGGAAAGUGUGAAGUGAUUCACUUUAGAAGGUUGAACAUGAAGUCAGAACACAGAGUUAAUUGCAGGAUUCUUAACAGUGGAGGAACAGAGGGAUUUAGGAUCCAAGUCCAAAGUUGCUAUGCAGGUUGAUAGGGUGGUUAAGAAGGAGAUGGUGUGUUGACCUUCAUAAGUUCAAGAGCCAUGAAGUAAUGUUACAGCUCUAUAAACCCCUAGUUCUGUUCCUACUCAUUAUAGAAAGGAUGUGGAAGCUUUAGAGAAGGUACAGAGGAGAUUUACUGGGAUACUGCCUAGAUUAGACAGCUUGUCUUAUAAGUAUAGGUUGAGCGGGCUAGGGCUAUUCUCUUUGGAGCCAAGGAGGAUGAGAGGUGUACUAGAAGAUAAGACAUAGAGAUAGAGUGGGCACCCAGAGAAUUUUUCCCAGGAUGGAAAUGGCGAAUAUGAGGGGUCAUAACUUUAAUGUGUUUAGAGGAAAGUAUAGAGGAGAUGUCAAUUUUUAGGUGCUUGAAGUAUGCUAUCAUCACGGAUGAUGGAGGAGGCAGAUACAUCAGUGACAUUUAAUAGACUCUUAGGCACAUGGAUGAAAGAAAUAUGGAAGGCUAUGUGGGAGGGUAGGGUUAGAUUGAUCCUAGACUGAAGGGGUCUGUACUGUUCUAUGUUCUAUGGCUGGCUUUCAGAUUUGUCAGUUUUAUUGGGUAAGUGCAUGAGCUUUAAAAUUCUUGUCUUCUAUUAACGUCUUCUAAAUACUUCAGCUUCUGCCCUCUGUUAUCAGAGUACUGAAUGGUCUCCUACUACUAUAAAAUUAACUCUACACCUGACAAUCUACCUCGUUAUUACUUUGUACCUCAUUAUCUGCCUCCACUGCAUUUUCUUGAACUGUAACAUUUUAUUCUGUAUUGUUACUGUUUUCCCUUGUCCUGCCUUUGUUCACUAAUGUGAUGAAAUGAUCUGUAUGGAUGGCACACAAAACAAAAGUUUUCACUGUGCCUUAGUACAUGUGACAAUAAUAAACCAAUUUACCAAUUAAUUAAAUUUUUGCGAAGUGGCACAACAAUACAGCCAGAUGUGAUUAUAACGAGUUAUCUCAGAAUAUUCAAAUCUCACUGAAUUGACAGGCUAUCAAAAUCAGAAAAUAUUUGAGGUGGUAUCUCUACAUGUUACUGUGGAUUCUGCACUGAAAAUCUGGUGAAGAAUAUUACAAGCUGCAGCUGACAGUUAUUUGUGGAUUGUACUACAUCUUCUACUAUAAUGAUGGGAAUCUAGUUUAGCUCUGAUCUAAUUCUUCAGCAAUAUAUCCAUUGAAAAGUCAACAACUUGAAACAUUAACUCUGCUUUUGUCUUUCCACACGUGUUGCCUGACUUGCUCAGUUUUCCAAUCAGCUCCUAUUUUUUUUUAUCUUUCAGCAUCUGCAGCUUUUUGCUGUUGCUAUUUGCAAGGCUGAAAACACACUGCCCUCCAGCUUCCUACAUCAUUCAACAAAACUUUAAUUGUAGAGUAAUAAAGUCCAGAAUCAGGUCUUUCAAAUCAAAGUUCAAAGUAAAUUUAUUAUCCAAGUAGAUAUAUAUAUAUCAUGUAUAACCCUGAGAUUCAUUUUAUUACGGGCAUACUCAGUAAAUACAAGGAACAUAAUACAAACAAUUUGUAGAUUUAGUGAAAGACCACACCAAACAGGAUGGACAAACAACCGUGUACAAAAUACAAAAGAGAAAAGAUGAAAUAGUAAUAAGAAAUAAAUCAGCAAUAACUAUCGGGAACAUAAGAUGAAGAGUUCUUGAAAGUGAGUCCAUAGGUUGUGGGAACAGAUCAGUGAUGGAACACCCAUUCACACUAACCCUACACUUUACCCAUUCUAUUCUCCUCACAGUCCCAUCAGCUGUCAGAUUCUACAAUAGGUGCAAUUUUCCACGGGAAAAUAACCCACUGAUCUAUUGGUCUUUGGGAUGUGGGAGGAAACCGGGCACCUUGAAGAAACCAACACAGCCAUAGUGAGAACAUGAUCUCUGCACAGAGGACAUCCAAGGUCAGAAAUGGACCCAGGCCUCAGGAGCUGGGAAACAGUAAUUCUACUAGAUUUGCAACUCUACCACCCCCAAGUUGAUCUUCAGCCUCAGCUAUACUUAUUUAUCUAAAUUCAGUGUAUUAGAUAGAGAACAGCAAUCUUAUAUGAUCUCCACAUGGUGUUAAAUCAGCUGACCAAAGCUUCUCCAAAAUCAAUGGAACCCAUCACUACUGGGUCAGGCUCUCGAUGGCUUUAUGAGGUUUCACACAUUUGAUAGUAAGUCAACAUGCAAAAUUCAAAAGAAGCUCAGCAGGUCAGGCAGCAUCUAUUGAAGGAAAUUACAGUUAACAUUUCAGGCCAAAACCUUUCAUCAGGAGUGAAAAGAAAGUGGGAGGAAGCUGGAAUAAAAAUUGGGAGGUGGGGGAGGAAUACAAACUGGCAGGUGCUAGAUGAGACCAGGUGGGUGGUGGAGGGAAUGAAGUGAGAAGCUGAGAUGUGAUAGGUAAAGGGCUAAAAAAGUAAUCUGAUAGGACAGGAGAGUAUGGGAGAAAGGGGAGGGCACCAGAGGGAUGUGAUAGGCAGGUGAGGAGAAGAGGAAGGGUAAAAGGGGAGCCAGGAUGAAGAAUGGAAAAAGAGAAAAGGGGUAGGUUGGAGAAAUUACUGAAGGUUAGAGAUAGGCGAGUCCAGUGAGGGGGAAGGUAGGAAUGAAAGAAAAUACAUGAGAAGCUGGGAGGUGAAGGAGGAGUAAUUUGAUAGGAGCGCAGCGCUGGCAAUUAGGAGAGAUUACAGAGGGGCAGCAGUGAGAGAGGGUCUUACAGAACUCCCAUUGAAGAGAAGAGGAAAACUAUAUAUCACCUGCAUCACGUAAAAUCGUCGUAAAAUUUGUUAACUGCGGCAGUUGUACAAUGAAAAUAUAGAAAAAAUAAGUAAAUUAAUUACAGUAAGUAUUUAUAUGUAUAUUAAAUAGUUAAAUUAAAAAUAGUGCAAAAACAGAAAUUUUUUAAUAAAGUGAGGUAGUGUAAAUGGGUUCAAUGUCCAUUUAGGAAUUGGCUGGCAGAGGGGAAGAAGCUGUUCUUGAAUCGCUGAGUGUGUGCCUUCAGGCUUCUGUACCUCCUACCUGACAAUAACAAUAGGCCCUCACCCCAUCCCACUCGGGAUAGGGUUCCCCUUGUGCUCACCUACCACCCCACCAGCCUCCAGGUCCAACAUAUAAUUCUCCUUAACUUCUGCCACCUCCAACGGGAUCCCACUACCAAGCACAUCUUUCCCUCCCCCCGUCUUUCUGCUUUCUGCAGGGGUCACUCCCUACAUGACUCCCUUGUCCAUUCAUUCCCCCCCCCCCCAUUCCUUCUCACCAAUCUCCCUCCUGGCACUUAUCCUUGUAAGUGGAACAAGUGCUACACCUGCCCGUACACUUCCUCCCUCACCACCAUUCAAAACCCCAGACAGUCCUUUCAGGUGAGGCGACACUUCACCUGUGAGUCAGCUGGUGUGGUAUAUUGCGUCCGGUACUCCCAGUGCGGCCUUUUAUAUACGGACGGACACUGACUUUCUGAGGCACCACCCCUUGAACAUAUUUUGGAUAUUACAGAAGUUAGUACCCAAGAUGGAGCUGACUAGUUUUACAACUUUCUGUAGUUUCUUUCGAUCCUGUGCAGUCGCAACCACCCCAAGGUAUUAAGAUCUUUGAGGAUCUUACCUGGUUCCAACAUAUCAAUGCAGCUAUAAAGAAGGCAAGCCAGUGGCUAUAUUUCAUUAGAAGUUUGAGAAGAUGUAAUUUGACACCUGAAACACUCAAAACCUCCUACAGAGGUACUGUGGAGACCAUUCUGACAGGCUUCAUCACUGUCUGAUACAGGGUUUCUGUAGCUUCCAAUCCUGUGCAGUAGCCUCCCCCCUCCCCCAUUCCAGAUAGUGAUCACACAGAUUUGGUCCUGAUUAGAGAGGUCCAGGUUCUGAAGCUUAUCGAUCAGGACUCUGGGAAAUAUGGUGUUGAACAUUGAGCUAUAGUCAACGAACAGCAUCCUGACAUCCUGGUGUUUGUGUUGCCCAGGUGAUCUAAGGUCGUGUGUAGAGCCAUUGCGAUUGCAUCUGCCGUAGACCUAUUGAGGCGAUUGACAAAUUGCAGCGGGUCUAGGUUCUUGCUGAGGUAGGAGUUGAUUUUAGCCAUGAUCACUCUCUCAAAGCUGUUAUGGCAUGCACCCAUCUACGCCAGCUUCCAAGGUUCAGAUGCUCUAACUACCUGGAGUAUGGAAAGCUGGCACAGCCCCUUCAGGACCCUCCCUCUAAGUUUUGGACACCAAGGACUGAACAUUUAAGGAGUACCUGAACUGAGGUUUGGUGCUCAAUGGUAAGCCUACUCGUUAUUUUGUCUUGUAGUUGUUUUGUACUCCGAUCCUCAAUCCAGUUUGAAACCGUGCCUUGAUCCUAGUUUUGGAUACUCCAACAUUUGGGUCCAAGCCAACUUCGUCAAGGAUUCUCGUCACAAAAGCAUUUCUUCACCAUAGAUGUGAGUGCUACUGAACGAUAGUCAGUAAGACAGCUUACACUAUUCUUCUUGGACACGGAUUUAAUAGUUGUCCUUUUGAAGCAGGUGGGAUGAGGAUGAGGACCAACCAAUCAGGAGGGAUGGAUGACAGGGGUAUAAAUACCACCAGACUAGACGUGCCCUGGCAUCAUCCCUGAUGAAAAUGGCAGUCCUUGUCAUCGAAAUGUUGGUUAAAAUCGAUUAUCAUAAUUCAGACAAGGAAGCUUAAUCUCCCUCCAGUUGCUCAAUUUAAAAUUCAAAGUAGGUUUAUUAUCAGACUACAUAUAUGUCUCCCUGUGAUUCAGUUUCUGCAGAUAUUCACAGUAGAACAAAGAAAUACAAUAGAAUCAAAACAAAUCAAAACAAUUUACCUAUUUAACCUCACCCUCACCCUAUCACUGAUAAUUCUUUUACCCCAUCCCACACUACUGCAACCUUUACUGUAACUUAAAAUUACCCUUUUCAUCUCUUAACAGCUUCUCCUGCUUCUCUGAGCUAAAACCGUCUCUUCCUCCACAAAUGCUGCCUGAGCUGCUGAACAUUUCCAGUAUUUUCUGUUUCCAUUUCACACCUUACAAUACAUUUCCUCCUUGCACCAUUAGCACAGUAUGACUCCAGCGUGUUAAUUUACUACCUCAUCUUGAAUGCCAGGCAGCUGAACCUCCUUAACCAACCUCCCAUGCAGCGCCUUAUCGACAUCAUCCUGGAUGAAAGUUGCCUUCAUCAACUUUCCUGGUAACUUCCUCGAAAAACUCUAUAAAAUUGACUAGGCUUAACCUACCAUGCACGUAGCCAUGCUGAUUAUCACUAUUAGACCCUGUCUAUCCAAAUACUCUUAUAUCCAGUCCAUUAGAAUAACUUACCCACAACUGAUGUCAGGCUCACUGGCCUGUAAUUUCCUAGCUUAUUCUGAGAGCUUUCUUAAAGAAUGGAGAAACGUCAGCUAUCCUCCAGUCCUCUAGCACUUCACCUAUGGCUACUUAUCUAUUUAAUACUGUUUUUCUAUUACUGUCUUGUUUUUAUCUACCGCUUUAUUUAAUUACCUGAGAGGAAGCCAAACAGAGUUUCAUUGUAUCUAUGUAUAAUGACAAUAAAGAUCAUUCAUUACUGCCCAUUAUGCCGCUGGCAUAUAGGGUAGCAAUGAAGGUCCUCCACUUCUGGUAGUGUCAGGACUUCCUUCAUCAUGCCAGUAGCUUCUUCACCCAUGGCAAGAAGUAGGGGUUAGUAGGUUAUUGGUCAAGUGUGUAAUUGGGAGGUGUGGGAGCAUUAGGCUGGAAGGGACUGUUACCAUGCUGUAUCUCUAUAUAUUAAUUCACAGCAGAAUAGGCUUCACAACUAACUCAUGUUCUUGUUUGACUUCUUGAUUAUUAAUGAGUUGUCAGAUAACAUAAAUAACAACAGUGCCAAAUGUACUUUCCAUGUAGUGCAAAUGAAAAGUAAGUCUUUCUCUCCUGGCUAUUUGGUGAUGAUUGUUCUUUCAUCCCUGCUGCAGUGUCUACCAUUUACAAAAUGCACUGUGAUUACUCUUUCAGCACCUUCCAAACAUGCAACAUUGACGCUUGGAGGGACAAAGGCAGCAAGUGCAUGGACAUGCUACCAAAUCCAGGUUCCUUCACCAUCACUGGGAAUAAAUCCCAGAAAUCUCCACCUAAAAGCAGCUUCAGCGGGGGAUUAUCGUCACCUUCUCAAGGGUAACUGGGAAAGGCAGUGAUUUCUCAUCUGGUGAAUCGAUAAAGAUGCGUUCUUUAUGGCUAUGAUAAAAUAACCUCUACCUAACGGUUAAAUCCUUUUGUCUGACAGCUGGAGCUGUGAGUUACGCCGCACUGUGGAGUGGUGCUGCAGUAGCAACUUGGCACUCCAUAUCUGUAAGACGAAAGAGCUGAUUGUGGACUUCAGGAAGUGUAGACAAGGAACACAUACCAAUCCUCAUAGAGGGAUCAGAAGUGGAAAAAGUAAGCAGCUUCAAGUUCUUGGAUGUUUGCAUCUCUGAAGAUCUAACCUGGUCCCAACAUAUCAAUGUAGUUAUAAAGAAGGCAAGACAGUGGCUAUACUUCAUUAGGAGUUUGAAGAGAUUCGGCAUGUCAACAAAUACACUCAAAAACUUAUAUAGUUGUACCGUGGAGAGCAUUCUGACAAGCUCCAUCACUGUCUGAUAUGGAGGGGCUACUGCACAGGACAGAAAGAAGCUGCAGAGGGUUGUAAAUUUAGUUGGCUCUAUCUUGGGCACUAGCCUACAAAAUACCCAGGACAUCUUUAGGGAGUGGUGUCUCAGAAAGGCAGCAUCCAUUAUUAAGGACCUCCAGCACCCAGGGAAUGCCCUUUUCUCACUGUUACCAUCAGGAUUUCAAUUCAAGAACAGCUUCUUCCCCUCUGCCAUUCGAUUCCUAAAUGGAUAUGGAACCCUUGGGCACUACCUCACUUUUUUUAAUAUACCGUAUUUCCGUUUUAUGCACGGUUUUAAAAAUCUAUACAUACACUGUAAUCGAGUUAUUUAUUUAUUUGUUAUUAUUUUUAAAAUUUAAUUUAUUAUUAUUAUUUUUUCUCUUCUAUGUUAUGUCUUGCAUUGAACUGCUGCUGCUAAGUUAACAAAUUUCACGUCACUUGCCAGUGAUAAUAAACCUGAUUCUG